rnacentral:siRNA from 1 species
GUUGUCAAUGUUGUAUCUUAG